UCGUGCCCUCUAAGAGUCGGGUUGUUUGGGAAUGCAGCUCAAAAUGGGUGGUAAAUUUCAUCUAAAGCUAAAUACUGGCGAGAGACCGAUAGCGAACAAGUAGAGUGAUCUAAAGAUGAAAAGUACUUUGAAAAGAGAGUGAAACAGUACGUGAAAUUGUUGAAAGGGAAGCGCUUGGCAUCAGCCCAUGGCGUCAGUCUAUCAACCUGGCUUCUGUCGGGUGCACUAGAGUGAUGUCGGGCCAGCGUCGACUUUGCCCGCUGGAGAAAGGUUCGAGGGAUGUGGCUCCUUGGAGCGUUAUACCCUUGGGCGUCAUGCGGUGGGCGAGGUCGAGGUCCGCGGUUUAUCCUAGGACGCUGGCGUAAUGGUUCCAAGCGACCCGUCUUGAAACACGGACCAAGGAGUCUAACAUCUAUGCGAGUGUUUGGGUGUAAAGCCCGUCCGCGCAAUGAAAGUGAAUGCAGGCGGGAGCCGUUAGAUGGCGCACCGUCGACCGGUCCAGGGGUUUACCGAAGGAUCUGAGUAAGAGCAUAGCUGUUGGGACCCGAAA
rnacentral:rRNA from 1 species